rnacentral:rRNA from 1 species
UACAGAGGUCUCAAGCGUUGUUCGGAUUCAUUGGGCGUAAAGGGUGCGUAGGUGGCGCCGUAAGUCAGGUGUGAAAUCUCGGGGCUCAACCCCGAAACUGCACUUGAUACUGCGGUGCUCGAGUACUGGAGAGGAGAUUGGAAUUUACGGUGUAGCAGUGAAAUGCGUAGAUAUCGUAAGGAAGACCAGUGGCGAAGGCGGCAUCCUGGACCGGUAUUGACACUGAGGCGCGAAAGCCAGGGGAGCAAACGGG